UCUACGGGAGGCAGCAGUGAGGAAUAUUGGUCAAUGGACGAGAGUCUGAACCAGCCAAGUAGCGUGAAGGAUGACUGCCCUAUGGGUUGUAAACUUCUUUUAUAUGGGAAUAACAUGUUCCACGUGUGGGCUUUUGUAUGUACCAUAUGAAUACGGAUCGGCUAACUCCGUGCCAGCAGCCGCGGUAAUACGGAGGAUCCGAGAGUUAUCCGGAUUUAUUGGGUUUAAAGGGAGCGUAGGUGGAUUGUUAAGUCAGUUGUGAAAGUUUGCGGCUCAACCGUAAAAUUGCAGUUGAAACUGGCAGUCUUGAGUACAGUAGAGGUGGGCGGAAUUCGUGGUGUAGCGGUGAAAUGCUUAGAUAUCACGAAGAACUCCGAUUGCGAAGGCAGCUCACUGGACUGCAACUGACACUGAGGCUCGAAAGUGUGGGUAUCAAACAGGAUUAGAUACCCGGGUAGUC
rnacentral:rRNA from 1 species